rnacentral:lncRNA from 1 species
GAUAGAAAAUGAUGUUGUCAUAUACCUUCCCAAUGUCGGUCUAUGCAAAACCAAUUAGACUCAAGAGGUACUUGAUAAGCUUAGCCAAAUAUUGAGUCGCAUCGACGGGAGGUACAUCAUGAUCAUAAAUAUUAGUCAAUUUGAUAGCCAUGAAUCAAGCAAUUAUCAAGUUUCUUAGAUAACAGAGUAGAUUUUGACUCGUUUGCUUUAUCUCAUAGCUGCACAUUUAACAUAAUGACAAUCAUGAAAAAGCAUCAACCACAACCAACGCCAUCACUCCUCUUACAGCCAAUUGAUAACCAUAGAUCAGGCACUUAUAAUGUUUUUUGGACAAUAAAGUAGAAUUAAUUUAUGUGCUUUGUCUCAAAGACAUGCAUUUGAUUUGAAUUUCUUUAUCUACACCCACAUGCCCACAAGAAUGAAAGCAAGUUUCUUG